rnacentral:misc_RNA from 1 species
GGAAUAAAAGUCGUAACAAGGUUUCCGUAGGUGAACCUGCGGAAGGAUCAUUAAUGAGUUGUCAUGGGGUUCGAUGCUGGCAGCCAGUUUUUGGAUGCAUGUGCUUGCCCUAACAAUCAUCUUCUUCCAAACACCUGUGCACAUUUUUGAGGGAGUCUUGAGUUGGUUGCCGCUCUUGGGUGAUUUUCUCACAUUCCCUUAAAUCAUUAUACGCUAUUAACAAUGUUGAACGUGCUCUGUGCCGCAAGGCCAUUAAUAUAAUACAACUCUUAACAACGGAUCUCUUGGCUCUC